GGGACACCACAUAAAUUGUCUCUUCAUGCAGAUGUAAUUCUCUUCGGCUUUAACUUAUAUGUAUAAUAGGGAACUAUUGGUGUUCUGCUGUUACAUUACUUGUUUAACGCACACAGAUCCAUUUCAGAGAGUGUGUUCUUGAAACCUGAGUGAGCUCUUAACCACUUCAUCAUUCCUCGUCUGUCAAUGGAUUCUCCACCUCACCCUCGCUACUUGAAUCAUCAUUAUCUGCAAUUGAGGGCUUGCCUUUUGAACCAGAAUUUUCAUGAAGGCUAUACUUGAGAAACUUCACCCUGCUUUUUUGUUCUGAAUCUUUUCCUUUGCGCUUUCUUCUUUCAGGUUCUGCUGAUUCCAUUGUAUGGGCAGCAGAAACAAAGGCAGCACUAUCAGAUUCAUUCAUCUUUUCAUCACCUUCUUCCUCGUCUUCUUCUCCUUUGUUAUCAAUGUAGAACAGAAUAUCAUUCUCUGAUUUUUUCUUGGCAUCUUUCAAAGCAGGUUGUUCAAAGCCCUCCGUCAUACUAUCGAGCAACGAUUUAGCUCGAAUUUUUGAUAUGUUAUGGUCAAAGAUUCUUAUCCCACCAUUUUCAAUGUUAAGAAUCCACCUCAAGAAUGUAGCAGGGGAUGAACUACUUGGUUCACUCGCUUUGUCUUCUGCUCCAAUCUUACUUCUGAUCCACGUGAUUAUCUGAGGAGGUAAACUAGAACCAGAAAAGGCAUUUGUGUAAGAAAUUGCUUUCUUCUGAUCCUGUUUUCUAUUCAAUUCUAUAGCUUCACCAGUAAUUAAUAGUCUUGCCAUGAUAAUAUUUUUCACAUGCUUGGCAGACAGCUGAUCCAUUUGCUCAGGAUUUAAGAAAGA
rnacentral:misc_RNA from 1 species